rnacentral:misc_RNA from 1 species
GUGAAUCAUCAAAUUUUUGAACGCAAAUUGCACUCUCUUCGGAGAGUAUGCCUGUUUGAGGGUCAGUAUUAAUAAAAAUCGGUGUGUUGCUUCUUUGUGACGCUCCGGAGUUUGGGUCAUCUUAAUAUCCUUUAGGUUUUAAGAGGCUUAAAAUUGACUUUUUUGCGCACUUUUAGACGUACAUAAAUUUAUUUUAUCGUCUAUUCUGGUGCCAAUUAUCUACUAGGUGCGAUCAUGUUUAUAUGAUCUCGUGCCCAUAAUUCUCAUCUUUUGACCUCAAAUCAGGUAGGAGUACCCG